CUCAGUUCGGAUUGGAGUCUGCAACUCGACUCCAUGAAGCUGGAUUCGCUAGUAAUCGCGCAUCAGCCAUGGCGCGGUGAAUACGUUCCCGGGCCUUGUACACACCGCCCGUCAAGCCAUGGAAGCCGGGGGUGCCUGAAGUGCGUGACCGCAAGGAGCGCCCUAAGGUAAAACCGGUGACUGGGGCUAAGUCGUAACAAGGUACC
rnacentral:rRNA from 1 species